rnacentral:rRNA from 1 species
GGCGAAGGCGGCUGUCUGGUCUGCAACUGACGCUGAGGCUCGAAAGCAUGGGUAGCGAACAGGAUUAGAUACCCUGGUAGUCCAUGCCGUAAACGAUGAUUACUAAGUGUUGGAGGGUUUCCGCCCUUCAGUGCUGCAGCUAACGCAUUAAGUAAUCCGCCUGGGGAGUACGACCGCAAGGUUGAAACUCAAAAGAAUUGACGGGGGCCCGCACAAGCGGUGGAGCAUGUGGUUUAAUUCGAAGCUACGCGAAGAACCUUACCAGGUCUUGACAUCUUCUGACAGUCUAAGAGAUUAGAGGUUCCCUUCGGGGACAGAAUGACAGGUGGUGCAUGGUUGUCGUCAGCUCGUGUCGUGAGAUGUUGGGUUAAGUCCCGCAACGAGCGCAACCCUUAUUACUAGUUGCCAGCAUUAAGUUGGGCACUCUAGUGAGACUGCCGGUGACAAACCGGAGGAAGGUGGGGACGACGUCAAAUCAUCAUGCCCCUUAUGACCUGGGCUACACACGUGCUACAAUGGAUGGUACAACGAGUCGCGAGACCGCGAGGUUAAGCUAAUCUCUUAAAACCAUUCUCAGUUCGGACUGUAGGCUGCAACUCGCCUACACGAAGUCGGAAUCGCUAGUAAUCGCGGAUCAGCAUGCCGCGGUGAAUACGUUCCCGGGCCUUGUACACACCGCCCGUCACACCAUGA